rnacentral:lncRNA from 1 species
CAAUAAACGAAGACCUCUCACUUACACAUAAAGAAUAAUACUACUAGACCGUAAUAACAAAUAACAGCUAUCAUAUAACUUUAUAUAUACUAUAUUUCAUGUGGUGCCUAUAAAAAUAUAAUUCCUAAAUUGAUAAAACUGUAAUACUGGAUCAUUUUAUAAAAAUAAUAAACCGUAACUUUGCUUACAUUUCACUUUUCUGGCCACAAAUUUUUGGGUGGUGUCUUUGUGACUUGCUUUAUUUUAAUUAAAAGCUGGGGAACAAUCACUCGUGGAGAUCCUGGCAUGUCAUUUGCUGAUUGGUUACUUCAAUAUCUCUCUGUUUCGCAAUCGAAUCAUGGAAGAUAUUAUUAGCCAAAUAGUCAUAUUCUAUGUAUGUAAUUAGAUUUUGUAGUAACGAGAGGGACACUCCAAGAACACAAAAACAAAAACGAGUUUGGUUUUAAUUUGCUAAACUAUACACUACUUUCAUCUGAUUAUAAAAUAAAUAUUUAUAUACCGCCUUGAUCACGGAACAAGGGCAAUGAUUUGGGCUGCAUGCAUCUUCUGGAGUUUGAUGACUCGUCCUAACUCAAUCUUAAUCAGUCAAUUUAUGGGGUUUGCUGAUGUUCUCUAUCAUCGAUGAAAGAUACGAGGAACUCAUGAUCGUGUUGACAUGGACACAUAAAAAUUGCUUUAAUUUUCAUAAUUUUUUUCGUCUUAAAUUUUGCAUAAAAUUGUAAGAAAUAAAGGUGUUAAAUUGCUACAAACAAUAAAUAGAAAUUAAAUAUGUGAAUAUGUACACAAUAGAACAAAAAUAGAAAAAUCUCAAAUUGAGCCGAGGCAAGUGGCGAAGCUAGAAAUUUAUAACGAUGGGGUCAUAAAACAGAAGCUUCCAAAAACUGAUCAUACUUUUACUUAUAAUUGCCAAUUUAUAAUUUAUUCUGCAAAAAAUUCAUUCCAAAUCAAUCAAUCAAUACAAAAACCCUAAAAAUCCCAAUGAGCUGAAGAUGAGAAAAAUACUAAUAUGAUUGAUUCAGAGAUACAACCAAGUGAGAUGAAGGGUGCCUAACCGAACUUGACCACCGGAGAAACUUUAAUUUAGGAGAUAUGAAGUCUGAGUGGAGAAGGGGUUUGCGUGUUUGAUAAGUGUUCAGCUUGUUUGAGAAAUAGCAUGCUAAACUUUUAUUUUUAUUUUUAAGUGAAACAGAAUACAUAACAGUUUUGGUUUAUGUCAAUCUAAAGAAUAUUUGUUAUAAAUAGGCAAAAUUUAGAGAGAUAACCUUUACUCUGGACAGGAACGAAGCAGUUGCAGAUUAUUAUACCAACACAAGCUGUUGCAGAGGAAGUAAUGUAUAUUAUUGCUAUUAGAUGUUUUUUUCUUCCAAGUCUCAUUUGAUCAAAUGUAGUGCUCUAUUUAUAGAGCAACCUCAUAGGAAACAAACAAAUGACACUAUUAAACUUGUGAGUCUAUACUAUACACAUGUGGUACUUUACUAUACACAUGUGGACAAACAUACCCAUUAUUUACAACACUCCCCCUUGGAUGCCCACAUAUCAACAUCAGUUGCCUCAUUAAAACCUUGCUUGGAAAAACCCAGUGGGAAAAAACCAUAGCGAAGGAAAAAGAGUACAACUUUACCCAGAUGGUGUUGAGCAUGCUUAUGUUGCCUCGUUAAAACCUUGAUAGGAAAAACCUAGUGGGAAAAAUCCUAAGCGAAGGAAAAACAGUACAACAUGCAUGUAUCAUGGAUGCUCCCCUGCAUUCUAUCUCCCCCUGAUUCCACAUUCUUCAAAUUUGUAAGCCGACGUAAUCCGAUUCCCUGCACCAACUUCUGAAAUGUGCACUUUGUUAAAGAUUUGGUGAACAAGUUUGCUAAAUUUUCAUUGGAACAUAUUUGUUUGACUUCAAUAACUUUAGCCUUUUAAAGCUCAUGUGGGCUGAAAAAUCUUGGAGAUAUGUGUUUAGUCUUAUCAUCUUUGAUGAAUCCUUCCUUCAUCUGGGCGACACAAGCUGCAUUAUCUUCAUGGAUGACAGUUGGAAUGUAUGUCUUUGAAGGUAGACCACAUGAAUUCCGGAUGUGAUAGAUCAUUGAUCUUAACCAGGAGCAUUCACGACUUGCUUCAUGUAAAACAAUUAUUUCCGAGUGAUUAGAAGAUGUAGCAACUAGCGUUUGCUUUGUUGAUCGCCAUGAAAUUGCAGUAUCUCCAUUAGUGAACACAUAUCCAUUUUGUGAGUGGGCUCUAUGCGGAUCGGAGAGAAAACCAGCAUCUGCGUAUCUAACAAGGAUCUGUUCAAUUAUGGGCUUGUCUGAGUAGAAGAGACCCAUAUCUGUUAUCUCACGAAGGUAUCGUAGAACAUCUUUAACUCCAUUCCAAUGACGAAUUGUUGGAGCAGAGCUGUACCUGGCUAACAAGUUAACUGAAAAAGCUAUAUCUGGUCUAGUACAUUGUGCUAAAUAUAAUAAAGCACCUAUUGCACUCAAAUAUGGUACUUCUAGACCAAUGACCAGUUCAUCAUCGUCUUUUGGAUGGAAUAGAUCUUUCUUAAUGUCCAAAGAACGAACGACCAUUGGGGUGCUAAGUGGAUAAGCCUUGUCCAUGCCAAAUCGCUUCAGUAUUUUUUCAAUGUAAGCUGAUCGAUGGACCAAAAUUCCAUUAACACAAUGCUCGAUCUGCAGGCCGAGACAAUAUUUGGUUUUUCCAAAAUCUUUCAUUUCAAAUUCGCUUUUCAGAUAGUUAGCAGUUUUGUUGAGCUUUUCAGGGGUUCCAACUAGGUUCAUAUCAUCGACGUAUACUGCCACUAUAGCAAAUCCAGUAUUUGAUUCUUAAUGAACACACAAGGGCAGAUGACAUUGUUGGUAUAUCCUUCUUUAAUCAAAUACUCACUGAGGCGAUUAUACCACAUUCGCCCAGAUUGUUUCAGCCCAUACAGUGAUCGCCUUAAUUUGAUUGAAAGCAUACCUCGUGGUUUAUUAGUUACUUCAGGCAACUUAAGUCCUUCUGGGACUUUCAUAUAUAUGUCAGUAUCUAAUUCUCCAUAUAGAUACGCGGUGAUGACAUCCAUAAGUCGCAUGUCAAGUUUUUCUGAAAUCACCAAACUUAUUAAGUAACGAAACGUAAUUGCGUCUAUUACAGGAGAGUAUGUCUCUUCAUAAUCAAUUCCAGGUCUUUGUGAAAAACCUUGUGCAACGAGUCGUGUUUUAAAUCUUGCAAUCUCGUUUUUCUCGUUGCGUUUCCUUGUGAAUACCCAUUUGUAACCUACGGGGUUCACACCAGGCGGGGUUUGGACUAUUGGUCCAAAAACACUUCGACUUUCCAAGGAAUUUAAUUCUACCUGGAUCACAUCUUUCCACUUAGGCCAAUCUUGUCUCUGUCUGCAUUCAUCAACAGGGCGAGGCUCAAUAUCAUCACUUAAUAUAAAUUCAGUGGCUAUUGCAAAUGCAAACAUGUCGUCGAUGAUUAUUUCAUUUCGAUCCCACAAUUCAUUAGUACAUGCAUAAUUUAUGGAUAUUUCUUUACUUUCAUGUACGUUUGUCUCUUCAGGGACAUGUGUCUCAUCAAGGUCAUUUUCUUUUUCUGGAAGUACAGAAUCAUGAAUUGUGGAUUUAUCAUUCAAUUUCUUUUCUUGAAUGAUAUCAUUUGGGUUCAACUGUGCCCUCAUCUUUCUCUUUCGAGAGGCUGAAUCUUUUGAACCUAGAAGUCUACCACGCUUCAGGCGUGCACUGGAUGAAUCAUUCGCUGCCACUUUAUUUUGUCCAACAGGGACAUCAAUUCUUGCAGGUGUGUUUGCAGCUGGUAUAUGUGACUUUGUCACUUUCGAAGCAUCAUUAAAUGCAUUUGGCAUUUGAUUAGCGAUACCUUGAAGAUGAACGAUCAUUUUCACUUCGUUUUCACAUUGAGUGCUUCGUGGAUCAAAAUGAGAUAAGGUGGGAAUAACCCAUGUCAGUUCUUGCCGUUCUUCUGGAACAGUAUUUUCUCCCCCUAACGACGGGAAAAUUGUCUCAUCAAAAUGACAAUUAGCAAAACGAACUGUAAACAUAUCACCAGUCAAAGGUUCCAAAUAUCUAAUGAUAGAUGGUGAAUCAAAACCCAUAUAGAUUGCCAGUCUUUGUUGAGGUCUCAUUUUAGUUCGUUGUGACGGUGCAAUAGGCACAUAAAUAACACAACAAAAAACUCGUAAAUGUGAAAUAUUUGGCUGAUGUCCAAACACGAGUUGUAUUGAUGAGUAUUGGUGGUUGGCUAUGGGUCUCAGUCGAACCAAUGAUGAUGCAUGUAAGAUGGCAUGUCCCCAUGCAAAGACUGGUAAUUUCGUUUUCAUGAGCAGAGUGCAUGCUAUUAAUUGAAACCGCUUGAUAAAUGCCUCUACUAAACCAUUUUGGGUAUGGACAUGAGGAACAUGAUGUUCAACAUCAAUGCCCAGUGCCAUGCAGUAAUCAUCAAAGGUUUGAGAUGUAAAUUCACCAGCGUUAUCAAGUCGAACGGACUUAAUGGGAUGACCUGGGAACUGUGCUCGCAACUUAAUUAUCUGAGCAAGAAGUCUCGCAAAAGCUACAUUUUGAGUAGACAAUAGGCAAACAUGUGACCAUCGGGUAGAUGCAUCAACCAAAACCAUAAAAUAUUGAAAUGGUCCACAAGGUGAUUGAAUAGGUCCACAAAUAUCCCCUUGAAUUCUUUGCAAAAAUGAUGGAGAUUGAUCAUCAACCUUUAGUUGUGAUGGUCUAAUUACCAACUUCCCUUGGGAACAAGCCUUGCAAGGGUUAUCAUUUGAGACAUCAAUGUGUCUGCUCAAUAAUGGAUGUCCAUUAUAGUUGGUAAUGAUUCUACGCAUCAUGGUAGAUCCUGGAUGACCUAGACGGUCAUGCCAAAACAUGUAAACCUUUGAAUCAAUGAACUUCUGGUUCAUGACAAUAUAUGACUCAACUGUCUUUAUGUAUGUAUAAUAUAAUCCACUCGAUAAACCAUGCAACUUCUCCAAUAUACGCUUCUGGGUAUCAUUUGAGGUAAUGCAUAAAUAUUUCACAUUUUCUACACUUUUCGUUUCACUGUGGUAUCUAUUUAGACGUAUGUCUUUAAAACUCAACAAAUUUCGAAUGGAUCGAGUAGCAUAUAAUGCAUUCUUUAUGGAUAAUAUUGUUCCAUUUGGUAACAUAAUUUGGGUUUUUCCUGAGCCUUCAAUUACAUCUUAUUGCCCUGAUAUUGUUGUUACCUUUACUUUUGCAAGUACCAAAUUCAAGAAAUACUUUCGAUCUCGAAGUAUUGAAUGCGUGGUUGCGCUGUUUGCAAGACAAAAGUCUCCGCCAUUGGUCUUGUUUUGAGAAUAACCGUAAUUUUUAUCCAUGUUCUCUGAGUAAAGAAAAAGCAAUUUAUUCAUACUGGAAUACUACUUUUAUUGAAUUGAAAAUGCGAGCAUUAAACCACAAGUACAAAUAACAAGAGUACAUUAAACAUAAAUAAUUCAAUCGGACCCACAAACUUCAUUCCCUCUUUCAUUAAUAAAGUCUGUAGCAUCCAGGUAGGUUGUGUUUAACUGUCCCGAUAAAUUGGUCACUAGAUCAGGUGUUUCCAUUGGUUGAGCCUGGUCGAAGAAAUUGAUCUCGACACCCUUCUCCUUGAAUGAGGCUUGAUACAAUUCCACCAGAUGCUUUGGGGUGCGACAAGUACGCGCAUAAUGGCCGUUGCCACUACACCUAUGACAACCUCAUUCAGGAUUUCUAGGAGUGUUCAUAUGAGCUUUUCCUUUCUGACGAUUUGCAUUUUUAAAGCUCGGGCUUGGAUUAUGCUUUGGAACCUGGUUGUGAAACUGGACACCAUGGUUAUUACCUUUCCCUUUCCACCGGCCUUGCUUAUGGCCACGUCCUCAUUUGUAAUUAUUGCCACGAGAGGAUAUGGUAUUCAUUUCAAGGGAAGCAACAUUUACUUUUGGGAACGAUGCUGAUCCAGUAGGUCGGGAAUUAUGAUUCUUCAUCAGGAGCUCAUUGUUCUGUUCAGCUACCAGGAGCACAGAUAUCAGCUGGUUGUAUUCAGUGAAGCCUAGCGCUCUAUACUGAUGUUGCAGGAGCAUGUUAGAGGCAUGGAAUGUGCUGAAAGUCUUUUCCAAUAACAUCACCUCAGUAAUAGUAUCCCCACAGAGCUUCAUCUGAAAGGUAAUUCUGAACAACACCGAAUUGUACUCAGCCACUGACUUAAAAUCCUGGAUCCUUAGGUGAGUCCAGUCAUUGCGAGCUCUUGGAAGAAUCACCGUUGUCUGGUGAUUGUAUCUGUUUCUCAAGGCAUUCCAGAGGGCUAACGGAUCUUCAACCGUUAAGUAUUCACUUUUUAAUGCCUCAUCAAGAUGGUGACGAAUAAAAAUCAUAACCUUUGCCGAUCUUGAGAGGAUGAGCUGCUCUCUUCCCUGAUGGUAUCUCCAAGAUUCGCUGCUUCCAGAUGGAUCUUGGUAUCCAGUACCCAUGCAAGGUAAUUCUUUCCAGUAAUGUCCAGGGCAGCAAAAUCAAGCUUUGCCAAGUUUGCCAUUUUCUUUUCUGAAAGAAAAAUGAGGUGUGUAAGAACUUGCAAUAAUAUGUGUUCUGGAGGAAUAUAAUGUUAGAACUUCUGGUUCUUACAAAUUUUUGAUCUUCAAGCCAAAAUGAUAAGUACUCGAAACUUCAGGUUCGAGAUUUACAUGAUUAAUGAGAAGGGCAAUUGUACCGCACAAUUCUCAUCGAAACAAGUAUAGGAUGAGCGAUUAUUUCGCACUACUUUAAACAACAGGAAAAUUUAAAUAUGUAGAGUAAGGUGGACAAUUAUACCGCACCACCUAAAAUUGCGAUAAAAUUUAAAUGGCGAUAAAAUUUAAAUAUGCAAAGCAGGGUGGACGAUUAUACCGUACCACCUAAAAUUGCGAUAAAAUUUAAAUAUGCAAAGCAAGGUGGACAAUUAUACCGCACCACCUAAAAUUGCGAUAAAAUUUAAAUAUGCAAAGCAGUGUGGAUGAUUAUUCCACACCACCUAAAAUUGUGAUAAAAUUUAAAUGUACAGAGUAGGGUGGGUGAUUAUUCCACACCACCUAAAAUUGCAAUAAAAUUAAAUAGCAGGUAAAUUUAAAUAUGCAGGAUAGGGUGGGCGAUUAUACCGCUCCACAUAAAAUUUGCAAUAAAAUUAGAUCUGCAGUCCAAGAUAGGCGAUGAUACCGCACCAUCUUGGAUUGCAUAAAUAAACACUGAGUUAAUAGUCAAGAGUUACACCAAACAAGAAAUCAAAGAUAUAAGUAACUGUUAGGUUGAGAACUAGAAGUAAACAUGGUGCAAAAAGUUCUUCGCGAGGGUAUAUCCAGCAAUUGAGGCAGAGGAAGAAGAAGAACAGAAAAAACCUUAGGCGAAGCAUUUUUUUUUCUUUUGGUGAAGGUAAAUGAGAAAUGAUUAGAGAGUCGUGCUGAUAACGUGUUAUAAAUAGGCAAAAUUUAGAGAGAUAACCUUUACUCUGGACAGGAAUGAAUCAGUUGUAGAUUAUUAUACCAACACAAGCUGUUGCAGAGGAAGUAAUGUAUAUUAUUGUUAUUAGAUGUUUUUUUCUUCCAAGUCUCAUUUGAUCAAAUGUAGUGCUCUAUUUAUAGAGCAACCUCAUAGGAAACAAACAAAUGACACUAUUAAACUUGUGAGUCUAUACUAUACACAUGUGGUACUU